rnacentral:rRNA from 1 species
GACGAACGCUGGCGGCGUGCCUAAUACAUGCAAGUUGAGCGCUGAAGGUUGGUACUUGUACCAACUGGAUGAGCAGCGAACGGGUGAGUAACGCGUGGGGAAUCUGCCUUUGAGCGGGGGACAACAUUUGGAAACGAAUGCUAAUACCGCAUAAAAACUUUAAACACAAGUUUUAAGUUUGAAAGAUGCAAUUGCAUCACUCAAAGAUGAUCCCGCGUUGUAUCAGCUAGUUGGUGAGGUAAAGGCUCACCAAGGCGAUGAUACAUAGCCGACCUGAGAGGGGGAACGGCCACAUUGGGAAUGGGAAAAGGCCCAAAAUCCUACGGGAGGCAGCAGUAGGGAAUCUUCCGCAAUGGAGGAAAGGCUGACCGAGGAACGCCGCGGGAGGGAAGAAGGUUUUCGGAACGUAAAACUCUGUUGGUAGAGAAGAACGUUGGGGAGAGUGGAAAGCUCAUCAAGUGACGGUAACUACCCAGAAAGGGACGGCUAACUACGUG